UGGCCUGCAUUUCUAAGAAUCAGGGUUCAGAGCUUUCUGGAGUGAUAUCUUCAGCUUGUGAUAAAGAGUCAAAUAUGGAACAAAGAGUGAUCAUGAUUUCUAAAUCAGAAUAUUCUGUGCACUCAUCUUUGGCAUCCAAAGUUGAUGUUGAGCAGGUUGUUAUGUAUUGCAAGGAGAAGCUUAUUCGUGGGGAAUCAGAAUUUUCCUUUGAAGAACUGAGAGCCCAGAAAUACAAUCAACGGAGAAAGCAUGAGCAAUGGGUAAAUGAAGACAGACAUUAUAUGAAAAGGAAAGAAGCAAAUGCUUUUGAAGAACAGCUAUUAAAACAGAAAAUGGAUGAACUUCAUAAGAAGUUGCAUCAGGUGGUGGAGACAUCCCAUGAGGAUCUGCCCGCUUCCCAGGAAAGGUCUGAGGUACGUUGUGCUCUUCAUGACACGUCCUGUGCCCAGCAGCAGGAAUGGCAGUUUGAUUUGUUCCUUUCUAUGUGCUGUUUUAGAGUUAAUUCUGAUGUUAAUUUAGCUAGUAACUUUCUGAAAGUCUAAAAUAAUUUGACACAGAAGUUCACAAUGUAGAGUGAGAGUAGAAAGUUACAGAACAGAAUGGUAGUAUAUUUUACAUGUUUGUGUGUAUGUGUACAUAUCUAUAUAUUCAUGUAUUUAUAUAUAGACCUUUUUCUGGUUUUUGUACAGUGACUAUUGUGUAAUGAAAAUUGGAGU
rnacentral:sRNA from 1 species